rnacentral:rRNA from 1 species
AGACCCGAAACCCGGUGAUCUAGCCAUGGGCAGGUUGAAGGUUGGGUAACACUAACUGGAGGACCGAACCGACUAAUGUUGAAAAAUUAGCGGAUGACCUGUGGCUGGGGGUGAAAGGCCAAUCAAACCGGGAGAUAGCUGGUUCUCCCCGAAAGCUAUUUAGGUAGCGCCUCGUGAAUUCAUCUCCGGGGGUAGAGCACUGUUUCGGCUAGGGGGCCAUCCCGGCUUACCAACCCGAUGCAAACUGCGAAUACCGGAGAAUGUUAUCACGGGAGACACACGGCGGGUGCUAACGUCCGUCGUGAAGAGGGAAACAACCCAGACCGCCAGCUAAGGUCCCAAAGUCAUGGUUAAGUGGGAAACGAUGUGGGAAGGCCCAGACAGCCAGGAUGUUGGCUUAGAAGCAGCCAUCAUUUAAAGAAAGCGUAAUAGCUCACUGGUCGAGUCGGCCUGCGCGGAAGAUGUAACGGGGCUAAACCAUGCACCGAAGCUGCGGCAGCGACGCUUAUGCGUUGUUGGGUAGGGGAGCGUUCUGUAAGCCUGUGAAGGUGUGUCGUGAGGCAUGCUGGAGGUAUCAGAAGUGCGAAUGCUGACAUAAGUAACGAUAAAGCGGGUGAAAAGCCCGCUCGCCGGAAGACCAAG